CUACGGGGGGCUGCAGUGGGGAAUAUUGGACAAUGGGGGCAACCCUGAUCCAGCCAUGCCGCGUGUGUGAAGAAGGCCCUCGGGUUGUAAAGCACUUUCAGUGAGGAAGAACGCCUGGUGGUUAAUACCCAUCAGGAAAGACAUCACUCACAGAAGAAGCACCGGCUAACUCCGUGCCAGCAGCCGCGGUAAUACGGAGGGUGCGAGCGUUAAUCGGAAUUACUGGGCGUAAAGCGCGCGUAGGUGGCUUGAUAAGCCGGUUGUGAAAGCCCCGGGCUCAACCUGGGAACGGCAUCCGGAACUGUCAAGCUAGAGUGCAGGAGAGGAAGGUAGAAUUCCCGGUGUAGCGGUGAAAUGCGUAGAGAUCGGGAGGAAUACCAGUGGCGAAGGCGGCCUUCUGGACUGACACUGACACUGAGGUGCGAAAGCGUGGGUAGCAAACAGGAUUAGAUACCCUGGUAGUC
rnacentral:rRNA from 1 species